CCUUAGUAACGGCGAGUGAAGCGGCAAAAGCUCAAAUUUGAAAUCGGCCUCCAGGUCGAGUUGUAAUUUGUAGAUUGUAUCUUGAGAGCGGAUUAAAGUCUGUUGGAACACAGCGCCUUAGAGGGUGACAGCCCCGUAAAAUCUAUUCUCAUUGUAAGAUACUUUCGAAGAGUCGAGUUGUUUGGGAAUGCAGCUCUAAGUGGGAGGUAAAUUCCUUCUAAAGCUAAAUAUUGACGAGAGACCGAUAGCGAACAAGUACUGUGAAGGAAAGAUGAAAAGCACUUUGAAAAGAGAGUGAAAAAGUACGUGAAAUUGUUAAAAGGGAAGGGUAUUGAAUCAGACUUGGUGCUGUUGUUCAACUGUGUUUCGGCAUAGUGUACUCAGCAGUACUAGGCCAAGGUGGGGUGUUUGGGAGUGAAAAAGAAGUAGGAAGGUAACUCUUCGGAGUGUUAUAGCCUACUUUCAUAGCUCCUCAGGCGCCUCAGGACUGCGCUUCGGCAAGGACCUUGGCAUAAUGAUUCUAUACCGCCCGUCUUGAAACACGGACCAAGGAGUCUAACGUCUAUGCGAGUGUUUGGGUGUAAAACCCGUACGCGUAAUGAAAGUGAACGUAGAUAGGAGCAGUAAUGCGCACUAUCGACCGAUCCUGAAGUUUUCAGAUGGAUUUGAGUAAGAGCAUAGCUGUUGGGACCCGAAAGAUGGUGAACUAUGCCUGAAUAGGGUGAAGCCAGAGGAAACUCUGGUGGAGGCUCGUAGCGGUUCUGACGUGCAAAUCGAUCGUCGAANUUUGGGUAUAGGGGCGAAAGACUAAUCGAACCCAUCUAGUAGCUGG
rnacentral:rRNA from 1 species